CUGGAAUUUAAAAAUAUUUUACGAAUUGAUCAUUUAUGGAUUUUGCCAAAUCUCACCAGGCUCUCUCUAAAUUGUAAUAAGAUUGAGGCAAUUGAAAAUAUUGAGAUGUUAACUAACCUAAAGGAAUUAAAUUUAAGCUUCAACUUUAUUGAAAAAAUUGAAAAUUUGGAUGCAUUGGUUAAUCUUGAAGUUGUAUCGUUAUUUAGUAACAGAAUUGAAAUUAUAGAAAAUAUGGAUAAAUUAUCAAAAUUGGUCAUCAUAAGUCUUGGAAAUAAUUUAAUUGAUUCUGUUGAA